CAGCAGCCGCGGUAAAACGAAGGGGGCUAGCGUUGCUCGGAAUUACUGGGCGUAAAGGGCGCGUAGGCGGACAGUUUAGUCGGGGGUGAAAGCCCGGGGCUCAACCUCGGAAUUGCCUUCGAUACUGGCUGUCUUGAGUGUGAGAGAGGUGUGUGGAACUCCGAGUGUAGAGGUGAAAUUCGUAGAUAUUCGGAAGAACACCAGUGGCGAAGGCGACACACUGGCUCACUACUGACGCUGAGGCGCGAAAGCGUGGGGAGCAAACAGGAUUAGAUACCCCCGUAGUCCCUGUCUCUUAUAC
rnacentral:rRNA from 1 species